UGAAAGUCCUCACUCAGCUUUAGUCCCUUCUAGCGUGAGUGAGAGAGCGUAGCACAGGCUUGGAGCCUCUGCUAAGCAAACCAGAGAUGGGGGGCCAGAAUCCAGGCGUGGGGAAGAGGAAGUGAAAGGAGAUGGCUGCCUGCAGAGCCCCUGGGAAGUAAGGAGGGGAGCCAGCCCUGCUUGCUGUCCUGGGCCAUUUGUCCUGGGCGCUCCUGCUGAGCAGGGAGGACUGCAGACGACUGUGGCUACAAAAUCCAGGCAGCGCCUGUGCAAAGCCGGUGAGCACUGGCCUUUCCCAGACCCCCCUCAGCCUCAUGGGAGAGGCACCAGGAAUGUGCAUGCACAGAGAAAUAAACCACCUGAGGACACAGGAGAAGACGGCCAUCUACAAGACAGAGAGAGAGGCCUUCAGGAGAAAAUAGACC